GUGCGCCUGUGCGAAGUACCGGCGGAUUUGCUUGUGGAGUCCAGGGAGGUGAGAGGCGCUGGCGUCGUCUGAGGGUUGCUGCUCUUUGGCCGUCGCUGUCCCGCCAUGACUUGGUCUUCCCCGCGUUCUUGAAGCUGUUCCUGCGAGCGUUGUCCUGGACGGCGAUGAGGAGCAGGGAGGCAAGCCGUCACCUGAGGCUCUGACGAGAGGUACUGACGCGGUCACCGCGAUGGCCUUUUAGUCUCUUGCCUGGUCCUCGCGACGGCGGAGCAGUUCACACCACAACAGAGCCAGGUGCACUUGCAUGGUUCCCACUUUGCUCGGAGAGCAGAGCUCCUGCCCUGCAAGACAAAGGUGGAUUGGCAUUUUGACUUCGCAUGUCAUGCAGCAAAGGAGAUUUGAUGUGCUUGUGGAAUCCUGCUCAGCAGUUACUUGAUCUUCCUCAGGGUCCUCCUGGCAGUUGUUAUAGCUAUUGUGUCAACCAUCAUGUGUGUCACCAUGAAAGGUAAAGAAUAGCCUUUUCUAUUUGACACCUAUUUCAUUUUAUUUUCAUAGUUUAUUGAGAUGUAAUUUGCAUACCCUGUGAUCCACCCAUUUAAAGUAUACAACUCAGGGUUUUUAGUACAUGUCAGAGUUGUGUAACUAUCACCACAAUCAACUUCCAAACAUUUCAUCACCUCCAAAAGAAAUCCUGUCAGUACCAAUUAGCAUUUCCCCCCACAGUUCACCAAGCCCUAGGCACCUACUCAUCUGCAUUCUGUCUCCAUAGAUUUGCCUAUUCUGGACAUCAGAGAAGUGGAAUUAUCCACUGUGUUAUCUUUUAGUCUGGCUUCUUAGCAUAAUGUUUUCAUGGUUCACCCAUGUUAUUCAUGCUUAGACCUUUAUUCCUUCUUAUGGCUGAUUAAAUUGACAUUGAAGGGACCCCAUUUUACUCA